ensembl:lncRNA
CUUCAGGUUUCUGUGCUGUCUAAAUGCAUCGUGAUGUUCUCAGGUUCUCUGUCUGCGUAACAGAAGUUUGUGGGACAGAUGACCUCACUAGAUUUCAUACUGGACGCUCUACAGGUAACAUGAGUAUUCCUGCACCUCGUGAGCCAGUGAGGGAGAAACUGAGGCCAUUUCCACAGUUCUCGCAGGAUCCAGCAGGCUCCAGAGCACAGUAAGCAGUUGUUAGCAGAAUCAGGAAUGCAGCGAGCUCAGAUUUGCCAGAACUGUGGUCGGGUUGCAUAUGUUUGUAAUUGAUUUCUUAAAUAUUUAUUUCUCCAUUCACAAUCUUUGUGUGGCUUUGGGUAACUCAUCUCAGAAUGCCACUCUGAGCAAUUACAAACUUCUGGGAUGGCCUGCCGAUGAAACCUGAGAUACAUGUGAGAUGUGUCAGCGGUGUGUGUGUGUGUGUGUGUGUGUGUGUGUGUGUGUAUGUAUGUAGUCUGUUGUGAGAUGAGAGAGACAAAGAAGAGAAGACCAGGCGAAAUGGAUGACAGUUACAUUCCUUUCAGCCAAUUAAUUGUCAUCUCAGCUGUUAUUUUAACUCUCUGCCCUGCGCACGUCCCCGCUGUUAUUCUUAUCAUUUCCGGAAGACGAGCUCAUCUGUGUAUGUAAAAGAGCCAGAUGACCUUCAGCCCCACAGCAAAGGUCAGAGUUCACCCAAUGUAUAUUUCAUUAGCAAACAGCAUGGAUUUGGAGAGAGAGACACAGAAAUAGAUCCAAAGAAAUCUCUGGGGAUUUUUCCAUACAAUAUACACUAUUAGCGCUAAUUAUUCAGCUCUCCGCUGCCGGUGAAAUGGCAUUCGACAUGCUUCUCUCGCACAGGAAGGACACUGUCAGUCCUUCUUCUCAUCUUCUGGACGACCAGAAUAAUAGUGAGAAUUAUUUAGUCAUAAGGCAGAUUAUAGACACUUACAUCAGAGGCAAAUAUAACUGCCUGUCUGCCUGAAAACACACAAAUAAAUCAACGUUUCCUUGAGAGAUUUGUCCUUUG